rnacentral:rRNA from 1 species
UACGGAGGGUGCAAGCGUUGUCCGGAUUUAUUGGGUUUAAAGGGUGCGUAGGCGGCUAUUUAAGUCAGCGGUGAAAGACAUCGGCUCAACCGAUGCAGUGCCAUUGAUACUGCUAUACUUGAAUAUAGUUGAAGUAGGCGGAAUGUGUAGUGUAGCGGUGAAAUGCUUAGAUAUUACACAGAACACCGAUAGCGAAGGCAGCUUAUUAAAGAGUAACUGACGCUGAGGCACGAAAGUGUGGGGAUCAAACAGG